AAUAUUUAAAUAAAACGCCAUUUGCUUUUCAUAUUAAGCAGUGCUGGUUUUUAUGCAGUUGCAUCGGUUAUGUGGUUAUCUGUAGUUAGAAGAAUGUUUCUGAUGUGAUAUUUAUAUACAUAAAUCGUAUGUGCUUGAUGUUGGACGAUGUGAUGACUUACCACUUGUGUGUACUUACUCUGCUACAUCUCGGAUAUCUUUUUGGAAAGUCACUGAAUCGAUCACAUAAACAAGACCUUUUGCGGAUAACUUGAAUUGAUCAAAAAAUUUGUAACGUAGACGUUCAUGUCCAGGUAUAUCAACAAUCUUUAAGGACCGCUAAAUAAAUUGAUACUUUAGAGGCCUAUGUUUCUGAUGUGUGUGUCUUAACAAAUUUAGAACAAAGUAGACGUGCAUAUAUCAGUGUUUUACCAGCAUCACUAAGACCAGUUAAUAAUAUACUGUUUCCUAUAGACCUCCUCUUGUGCCAUAUGGCAAAUAACACUAAGCAAAGGAAUAGAAUAGAAAUUUAUAUAAGUAGUAGUAAUGUUUAAGAUUGAGCUGUUAAUACCAAACAAAUGGCUCUACAGACGUAGGCUUAUGAAUUUUAGGAUAAAAGCCUAAGCAAAUAUUUACACAAAAAUGUACCUAUUUUUAUAUUAUGUAUACAAUUACAAUGGUAUGUUUGUUUCAUUACUUGCAGCUAUAUCCAUAAUGUUCAUUAAUUACUGUGGCUAUAAUGAUAUACAUUUUUUUUAAACAAAUGAAUGUGAUGUCUGUAGAAUGUUAGAAAUGAAACUAUGAGAUUGUUCAUGUUAUUCAUGAACAUCGUUAAAAUAUAACAAAAACUAUUUAAUAAUACAUGUGCAAAUUUAAAGAGGGAUAUGCUCUGUUACUUUAUAUCUGUGAAUUUCACGUUGUAUAUAUAAUUUAGGAAUAUAAUUUAUCAAAAGCAUUUAGACAGAUAUAUUUUUCGUUUUACUUGCUACAAAAAAAGAAAACUGUGAUGUUAUUUUGAAUAAUGUGAUAAUAAAAUCAGAAAACCUAUUUCUCAUGCAGAUUAUGAGUCAA